AAAAACAUGGCCUUUUGAUUUUUAAUUUAAGGUCUAACCUGCUCAAUGAGUUUUAAAUAGCCGCAGUAUCUUAACUGUGCAAAGGUAGCAUAAUCAUUAGUUUUUUAAUUGAAAGCUGGAAUGAAGGGUUGAAUGAGAAAAUAGCUGUCUCUAUAAAAAUUUUAUAGAAUUUUAUUUUUAAGUAAAAAAGCUUAAAUUUUAAUAAAAGACGAGAAGACCCUAUAGAGUUUUAUAUUUAUUAAAGAUACUUUUUUUAGUAUUUUCAAAUUUAUUUUUUUAUAAUAUUUAGUUGGGGUGAUUAGAAAAUUUGAUAAACUUUUCUUUUAUAUACACAUUUAUUUAUGAAUAUAUGAUCCUUUAUUUAGAUUAUAAGAUAAAAUUACCUUAGGGAUAACAGCGUAAUUUUUUUUAAGAGUUCUUAUCGAAAGAAAAGAUUGCGACCUCGAUGUUGGAUUAAAAUAAAUAUUUGGUGUAGAAGCUAAAUUAAUUAGGUCUGUUCGACCUUUAAAAUUUUACUUGAUCUGAGUU
rnacentral:rRNA from 1 species